CCCAGACUCCUACGGGAGGCAGCAGUGGGGAAUAUUGCGCAAUGGGGGCAACCCUGACGCAGCCAUGCCGCGUGAAUGAAGAAGGCCUUCGGGUUGUAAAGUUCUUUCGGUAGCGAGGAAGGCAUUUAGUUAAUACCUUUGCUCAUUGACGUUACCCACAGAAGAAGCACCGGCUAACUCCGUGCCAGCAGCCGCGGUAAUACGGAGGGUGCGAGCGUUAAUCGGAAUUACUGGGCGUAAAGCGCACGCAGGCGGUUAGUUAAGUCAGAUGUGAAAUCCCCGGGCUCAACCUGGGAACUGCAUCUGAUACUGGGUCGCUAGAGUACUUUAGGGAGGGGUAGAAUUCCACGUGUAGCGGUGAAAUGCGUAGAGAUGUGGAGGAAUACCGAAGGCGAAGGCAGCCCCUUGGGAAUGUACUGACGCUCAUGUGCGAAAGCGUGGGGAGCAAAC
rnacentral:ncRNA from 1 species